rnacentral:lncRNA from 1 species
UUUUUAACCGAGUCUCCUGAAAAGUCACUUCUUCAAUCCUGCUCCGUCUCUUCUUCUUUCUCUUACCGACGUUUGCAGUCUACUGACAACAAAAUGCCUCCAUCUCUUUUUCUUUCUUCACAUGAAUCUGAAUCAACCAAUCUCCAUGGAUCGGGUGCUCAAAGGUGCGAGAAUUUACGGUUCUCUCAACUUAUCAAAUUGUUCUAUCAGGCAAGUCCCCAAUACUCUAAUUCUUCUUGCUCCAUUUUAUUUUUGUUGAGUUGCUUCCUACAUUUCUUUCUUUCAUAGCCGAUGAUUCUGUUUUCUGUUAGCAUUGUAUCUGAACGAUGAAUUUAGAACAUUUUUAAAGCUGCAAAAUUGGGUUUUUUUUGUACUAAUGUUGAGUGAGGACCGAGGAUGAAUGCUUAGUUGGACUAUCCUAUCUAAAAUCUGAAGAUCCUUAAAGUUUCUGGACUUAGUUGUACUCUGAUGAAUUCUUGUGUUGGUUUCAUGAAAAUCGAAAAUUUCAAUGUUCAACAAAUUGUUUGAACCAAAACAUUCUGUCCCUGAUUUUUAGAACUUCACAACGAUGAAAAUUUCAAUGUUCAAGAAAUUGUUGGGAUUCUUGUGUUGUGUUAUCGCUCAUUUUAUUUUGUCCUGCUUUUUUUUUUAAUAAAAAAAACAAGUAUAAUUUAGUCAUCACUUAGUUGUACUCUGAUGAAUUCUUGUGUUGGUUUCAUGAAAAUCGAAAAUUUCAAUGUUCAACAAAUUGUUUGAACCAAAACAUUUUGUCCCUGAUUUUUAGAACUUCACAACGAUGAAAAUUUCAAUGCUCAAGAAAUUGUUGGGAUUCUUGUGUUGUGUUAUCGCUCAUUUUAUUUUGUCCUGCUUUUUUUUUUUAAAUAAAAAAAACAAGUCUAAUUUAGUCAUCUUCCUGAAAUACAAAUAUUUGUGGUUUAAUGCUUUUUAAACAGACCCAUUUGCCUAACUUUUCAUUGGUACUCCAAUUUGCUAGACUUUGAGAAUUACAUCAAAUAACUGUUGUAGUAUUAGUUUUAUCACCUGCUCUUGCGGAUCUCUUCCUUAUAGAUAUGUUAGAAUUGAUUCAUGCAUGCAUGUGAUUCAAAGUUAUAUUAUUCUAUUCCUUGUUGAAUGAAACUGAGGGGGACUACUAAGGUUGAGGAAAACUUGGUAUCCAUCAGCGAGCCUAAGGUAGCAAGAAAACUUAUUAAUGUAAGCUGCCACAUAUUAUUGUCUUGAAUUUUGUUUGAACGUGCUCUUUUUACUUCCUAAUUUAUUGAGUCCGGGUUGAGUUAGUUGACCUAUACUUCUUUAAAUUCUUAAAUUCUGUUUUCAAAAGUAAUACUACAUAGACCGAGUUGUGAUUUUAGAUGUAAAAAGUCUUUCUCUUCUUUUCUAAUUUCGGUAUGGGCAGAAGUUGUUCACUUUUUGCUGCUUAUUGGGGAAGUGGUAUGACAGUUUUGGUUUGAUCAUGAUAUAAAUUUACAUUUGUUUGAUGUUUCAGUUAGGUUUGCUCAAGAUUUAUUUGGUUGAACUUCUGGUUGUUAUUGCAGUUGAAUGGAGGAAUGUGUCAUAGCGCGAAAGCACUUGGAAUCACUCUUGCUGUAAUUGCGUAAAAGCCGCAUAGCAUUCGGAGGACCGUGAAAAAUACGAGUUAGUGAGUUUUCCAGUUGAAGAUAGAAGUGGAGGAUAGGUGAGAGUUAGUUUUUAUAUUGUCCUUUCUUAUCAUGGAAGUUCUUUUGAUGGAUAGCAGAAGUAGUCAGACAUGAAUACUAUCCAAGGUUAGUGCUUUUUUAACUUACCGAUUUAUAUCAUGGAUGCAGUGUCAUUUGCUCUAUGGCCUUUCACGUGGCAACUAUCUUGAGCUAACGAUAGUUUUGAGUUUAACAUUCUUUUAGCAGCAUGGUGCUCGUAGUUACUUUAUAAUUGUGCAUGAUAUUGUAAAUAGUUAAGUUCAAGUUGCUGAUUUCCUAUGGCAUCUCAAGCUAAAAAUUCUAUAUCUUGUAGUCUAUUUUUGUUGCAUAAAGAUGUUAUACCUAGCUUUUUAAAUUAUUUUUCGAACUACAUUCUUUAGGCACUUCCCUGUUGGAACUCUAGAGAAGGAAUUUUUUUAACGGUAAGAAAAGCAAGAUGACAAAAAUCAUAGAUCCUCAUAGAAGACAUUUUAGAAAAUACUUGCCCUAAAAAAAAUAAGUAAUUAAUUUUCAACAUUGAUAAUAGCCGUUUGGUAGAUUAUUUUUGCCCUUUGGCAUUGGCAAUUUUGUCAAAUAUUGUAUCUAUUGAAGCUUAUAAUUCCUUAUGCUUACCGAUAUUUCGAUGCAGAUAUUUUAGUUUCAGAUUCCAAAUUCAAUAACAUGAUUUUGAUACAAUGAAGCUCACUUAUGAGACUCAACAUUUGAGCUGAUGGUAAUUUUAUUUAUCAAGUGUUUUGACAAAACUAUUUAUUUGUUAAUUCAAUGAGGUUGUGGCUGAUUUGCUACACACUCUAGCAGCUAUUGCUUUUCUGUAGUGAUGAAUUUGAGAGCUUCUUUUCUGUAGUGAGAGGAAAACAUAGAAUAGCCCUGAAACUAAAACAGAAGCAAAGCUUGAUAAAGAGAAGAUUGAAAUACCUGUUGAAGAAGAGGAGACCAUUGAAUUGCCACCUGAAGAUUGAUCUUUUCACAGGGCAAUGGUUUUAUGACAACGUCACUCACCAAAUUAACAAAGAACGUCAGCACAUGUUACUUGCAUGACGUUGAAGACUCUUCAUGUACCAAAAUUGGAGGUGACAACCCAUAGACUAUUCAAGUAUGAGAGUCAUUUUUGAAUUCUUGAUUAUUCAAUCUUAACAUGUAUUGCAUAUAUGUAUGCAUGUAAAGGUGAAUGAAUAGACUACUUGGUUUGAUUUUUUAAUAAAAGGUGGAGUCAGGUUUAAUUGGUUAGAUGCAAUUUUCAAUAUUAUGUAAGUUGUACCUUUGGCUUGUGAGUAGGGGAUAAGACGUGAACUUAAAGUCCAGAUUGCAUCUUGAGGCUGUUUGUUUGGUAUUUUUGUUUAUGAGCUAUCUCAGGACCAUGAAUUUGUAAAUUAUAUUUCUCUGUUUU